rnacentral:tRNA from 1 species
GGGCUAUAGCUCAGCUGGGAGAGCGCCUGCCUUGCAAGCAGGGGGUCACUGGUUCGAGCCCGGUAUCGCCCA